AUUGAACGCUGGCGGCAUGCUUUACACAUGCAAGUCGAACGGCAGCGGGGUAGUGCUUGCACUACUGCCGGCGAGUGGCGAACGGGUGAGUAAUAUAUCGGAACGUACCGAGUAAUGGGGGAUAACCAAUCGAAAGAUUGGCUAAUACCGCAUACGUCCUGAGGGAGAAAGCGGGGGAUCGCAAGACCUCGCGUUAGUCGAGCGGCCGAUAACUGAGUAGCUAGUUGGUGGGGUAAAGGCCUACCAAGGCGACGAUCAGUAGCGGGUCUGAGAGGACGAUCCGCCACCCUGGGACUGAGACACGGCCCAGGCUCCUACGGGAGGCCGCAGUGGGGAAUUUUGGACAAUGGGGGCAACCCUGAUCCAGCCAUGCCGCGUGUAUGAAGACGGCCUUCGGGUUGUAAAGUACUUUUGUUAGGGAAGAAAAGGGAAGUGCUAAUACCACUUUUUGCUGACGGUACCUAAAGAAUAAGCACCGGCUAACUACGUG
rnacentral:rRNA from 1 species